AGAGUUUGAUUAUGGCUCAGGAUGAACGCUGGCGGCGUGCUUAACACAUGCAAGUCGAACGGAGUUAUUUAAAGCUUGCUUUUGGUAAACUUAGUGGCGGACGGGUGAGUAACGCGUGGGUAACCUGCCUUAUACCGGGGGAUAACGUUUGGAAACGAACGCUAAUACCGCAUAAGCGCACGAGAUCGCAUGAUCCAGUGUGAAAAACUCCGGUGGUAUAAGAUGGACCCGCGUCUGAUUAGAUAGUUGGUGAGGUAACGGCCCACCAAGUCGACGAUCAGUAGCCGGCCUGAGAGGGUGAACGGCCACAUUGGGACUGAGACACGGCCCAAACUCCUACGGGAGGCAGCAGUGGGGAAUAUUGCACAAUGGGGGAAACCCUGAUGCCAGCGACGCCGCGUGAGUGAAGAAGUAUUUCGGUAUGUAAAGCUCUAUCAGCAGGGAAGAAAAUGACGGUACCUGAGUAAGAAGCCCCGGCUAACUACGUGCCAGCCGCGGC
rnacentral:rRNA from 1 species